rnacentral:rRNA from 1 species
GAUGAACGCUGGCGGCAUGCCUAACACAUGCAAGUCGGACGGGAAGUCGUUUUUCCCGUGGCGUACGGGUGAGUGACGCGUAAGAACCUGCCGUUGGGAGGGGAACAACAGCUGGCAACGGCUGCUAAUACCCCGUACGCACAGUAGCACAGGGUGCAAUCCGCCCGUGGAAGCGCUGGGGUUUCAUUAGCUAGGGGGUUGGGCAAUGCGUUACCAAGGCGACGAUCUGUAGCUGACCCGAGCGAAGGAUCGGCCACACUGGGACUGAGACAUGGCCCAGACUGCUACUGGGGGCAGCAGUAGGGUAUAUCGGGAGACGGGCGCGAGGAUGAUUCCGCAAUGCGGGGUAGCUUGAGAAGGCCUUGGCGUGGGGAAGUAGAAUGGCUAGGAGUGAAGAGCAGCAUGUCAAGGCGAAGAAGUAAUGACGGUACCUGAAGAAUAAGCAUCGGCUAACUCUGUG